GGUUCUCCUUCCAUAAGUAAGGACCCUGCACUACACUUUAACUAUCACCCACAAAGACCUAUGGUCACAAAUGGGAUCCAGAAAGCAAAGGCAAGAGCUGAGCUUUGCAGGGUACUUUUGGUAGGCUGGCCUGAGACACCUCAGGUGAGAAGGGAAGACAAGGCCAGGGCAGGCUUUGCUGCUGGUGUUCGCAUGCUAGAAGACUUGCUCCACCUGAUCCACUUACAAGCCAUUGCAAGCCCAUUGAAACACCUUGUCGUUAGUAAAUCCACAGAGCAAGAAACCUGGGAUGCUCCAUUGCCAGUGGCAGACAGGUAAUGAAGCAAUCAAGCACAGGGGCUGUAAGAAAGAGCUGGCUGAACGCUGUGGGGGAUCCCCAGCAGAUAUAGAUUUGUGCACACAAGGUGUGUUUCAAUCUGUAUCAAAUCAUGGACCAGAAAUGCCUUUUUGCCCAGGCACAGGGCACGGACAAAGAGGAAGUGUUUAUGCUUG